GAGGAAAUAACUCAGUGGUAGAGUGCAAGCUUUGCAUGCAUGGGGUCCUGGGUUCAAUCCCCAGAACCUCC
rnacentral:tRNA from 1 species